rnacentral:lncRNA from 1 species
UUUUUUAUUUUUUUCUUUUUAAUUUUAUUUUGUUUGAAGCAUGUUCAUGAUUAAAUCUGUAUGCUGGCUUAUUUGAGUGACUGCUCUCUGAUUGCGGUUUCCUCAGUCCUAGUUCUUCCUCUUCUUCUUCUUUUUUUUUUUUUUUUUUUUUUUUUUUUCUUCCCUUUCCUUCCUUUCUUUUUGGUUUAGAGAAGCCCUUUCAAUAUUUCCUUUAACCUGGGUUUUGUGUUGCUGUAUUCUUUAAGUUUUUGUUUGUUGGGAAAAAUUUUUAUUUCCCCUUCUAUUUUAAAUGAUAUUCUUGCUGGAUAGAGUAUUCUAGGUUGCAUAUUUUUUCCUUUGAGCACUUUAAAUAUCUCUUGCCAUUCCCUCCUGGCCUGUAGUGUUUCUGUAGAGAAAUCAGCUGAUAUUCUUAUGGGGGUUCCCUUGUAGGUAACAUUCUGUUUUUCUCUUGCUGCCUUUAGGAUCCUCUCUUUAUCACUAACUUUUGCCAUUUUUAUUAUGAUGUGUCUUGGUGUGGGUCUGUUUGGGUUCAGUUUGUUUGGGGCCCUCUGUGCUUCUUGUAUCUUGAAUCCAGUAUCCUUUAGAUUUGGGAAGUUUCCAGCGAUAAUUUCUUCAAAUAUAUUUUCCAUUCCCUUAUCUUUUUCUACUCCUUCUGGAAUUCCUAUUAUGCGUAGAUUGGCCCGCUUUAUAUUAUCCCAUAGGUCUCUUAUAUUGCUUUCCAGUUUUUUGAUUCGGUUUUCUGUCUGUUGACCAGAUUGAGUGAUUUCCAUUAUUCUAUCUUCCAUAUCACUGAUUCGUUCUUCUGCAUUAUUCAUUCUGGUUUUUACUGCCCCUAGUUCAGUUUGCAUCUCUGCAAAUGAAUGUUCUAGUUUUUCUUGGCUCCUCCUUAUAUUUUCUAGUUCCUUUCUGAGGGUAUCUGCAUUACUGUUCAUAUCUUCUCUUAAUUCCUUCAGUAUUUUCACUAUUUCUCUUUUGAACUCCAGGUCUGUCUGACUGCAGAGAUCUGUUUCAUUGUUGACUGUUUUAGGUGAGUUCUCCUGUUGGUUUGACUGGGGGUGGUUUCUCAGCUUCUUCAUCUUGCUUGUUGUUUUCUUUCUCCUGAGGGAGUUGUACUCUCCGUUAUCGGGCAGUGUUUGCCUUGUCACUGCCGUGGAAUAUUUCCUGAGGGCUGGCGUUGUUGGUCAAUCUUUUUUGAGGCAGUGUGGCUUUUCUGGAGUGUUGAUGGGGCUAACAGUGUUUCUUUGAAGCAAAGGAGGACUUCCUGAGGGCAGACAGGACUGGGAGGUCCACACCACGAUGGUAGCAGAUUUCACUUGGUCAUGCAGAGCUUGCUCUGGUGUUUUUAGGCUGUGGGGUUCUUGCAGGGGGUUGGCGGUGUUGGGCAGCUGCUCCUCAGGAGUGCAGCACCCCCUGGGGGCUGGAGCAGCUAUCUGGGUCACUGAGAACCUAAGAGGCUCUUCCCUAGGGCAGCCCAACUCAGAAGGACAGCCUGAGAAUGUAGGCGGAUCUUUUCACAGUCUGGCCGAGCUUGUUGCAGCUUUUCUGGGCUGCAGGGGCUCUUCCAGGGGGCUGGUGGUGCUGAGCAGUUAUUUCACGGGAGUGGGGCACCCCCUGGGGGCUUGGGCGGGUAGCAGGGCCACUGGAAACCCAAGAGGCUCCUCCCCAGGGCACCUGACUCAGAAAAACCGUCUGAGAUCUUUUCCCGACUCGGCCAGGCUUGUUGCAGCUUUUCUGGUCUGCGGGGGGUCCUGCCUGGAGCUGGCAGUCCUAUGCAGCUGAUCCACUAGGGCACCCCCUGGUGGCUUGGGCGGGUGGCAAGGCCUUGGAAACCCAAGAGGCUCCUCCCCGGGGCAGCCCGACUCAGAAAA